UACGUAGGCAGCGAGCGUUGUUCGGAGUUACUGGGCGUAAAGGGCGUGUAGGCGGUCCGGUAAGUUUGGUGUGAAAUCUCCCGGCUCAACUGGGAGGGUGCGCCGGAUACUGAGGGGCUAGAGUGCGGGAGGGGACAGUGGAAUUCCUGGUGUAGCGGUGAAAUGCGUAGAUAUCAGGAGGAACACCGGUGGUGCAAACGGCUUUCUGGACCGUAACUGACGCUGAGACGCGAAAGCGUGGGGAGCGAACAGG
rnacentral:rRNA from 1 species